rnacentral:rRNA from 1 species
AGUGCUUAAGGCACGGAGCCGAAGCGAGAGCAAGUCUGAACAGGGCGAAAAAGUCGUAUGCAAUAGACCCGAAACCGAGUGACCUAUCCAUGUCCAGGCUGAAGUGGAGGUAAAACUCCAUGGAGGGCCGAACACACGUCCGUUGAAAAGGCCGGUGAUGAGGUGUGGAUAGCGGAGAAAUUCCAAUCGAACUCGGAUAUAGCUGGUUCUCCCCGAAAUAGCUUUAGGGCUAGCGUCGAGGAUGAGUCUUGUGGAGGUAGAGCACUGAAUGUACGAUGGCCCCAUCCCGGGGUACUGAGUAUAAUCAAACUCCGAAUGCCAUGAGAUAUUCCCGGCAGUCAGACCGUGGGUGAUAAGGUCCAUGGUCAAAAGGGAAACAGCCCAGACCGCCAGUUAAGGUCCCAAAAUGUAUGCUAAGUGGAAAAGGAUGUGGGGAUGCACAGACAACUAGGAGGUUGGCUCAGAAGCAGCCAUCCUUCAAAGAGUGCGUAACAGCUCACUAGUCGAGUGACCCUGCGCCGAAAAUGUACCGGGGCUAAGCAUACUACCGAAGCUGCGGAUUUGUAGUAAUACAAGUGGUAGGGGAGCGUUCCAUGCACGUGGAAGCCAUACCGAAAGGAGUGGUGGAGAGCAUGGAAGUGAGAAUGCCGGUGUGAGUAGCGAGAUGCAGGUGAGAAUCCUGCACACCGAUAGCCCAAGGAUUCCAGGGGAAGGUUCGUCCGCCCUGGGUAAGUCGGGACCUAAGGCGAGGCCGAAAGGCGUAGUCGAUGGAAAACAGGCAGAUAUUCCUGUACCCGCGAUGGAAAUGAAGGAAUGACGGAGAAGGCUAGCAUGAGCCACUUAUUGGAUUGUGGUCGAAGCGAAUAGCAGGUGCAUAGUCAAAUGCGUGCACGGGAUGUAAAACGUGACAGGUAAGCGAAACCCCUGGGGAGUAGCGAAGCAUGCGAGGCCAGCUUCCAGGAAAAGUUUCUAGUGCUAAUUCCAUAGCGGCCCGUACCAAAACCGACACAGGUGGGCAAGGAGAGUAUCCUGAGGUGAGCGAGAGAACUGUUGCCAAGGAACUCGGCAAAAUGACUCCGUAAGUUAGCGAGAAGGAGUGCUUAUGAAAGUAAGCCGCAGUGAAGAGGCCCAAGCGACUGUUUAACUAAAACACAGCUCUCUGCGAAGUCGCAAGACGAAGUAUAGGGGGUGACGCCUGCCCGGUGCUGGAAGGUUAAGAGGAUUUGUCAGUUUCGACGAAGCAAUGAAUUGAAGCCCCAGUGAACGGCGGCCGUAACUAUAACGGUCCUAAGGUAGCGAAAUUCCUUGUCAGGUAAGUUCUGACCCG